ACACCUGCAUGGCUGGACAUUACCACCUGACGGACAUUUCAUCCAUUAUUGGCCGCAGAUUAUUAAAGAUAAUAGAAAUAGAACCUGAAUCCUUUAAUGUAAUGUUCAUGUGUUGGAAACGACAUUUCUUAUUUAUGAAGGAAGCUUGACUCGGCUUGAUUAACGACAAGGACCCAUGAGUGAACCCUUUCCCACCCAGCAGCCAGGUGACAUCCUCAUUACCUUUAAAAAGAAAGAGAAAGGAAUCUGUCCAUGUUUUCUGUGGUUUAUCAUCAGCAGUGAAGCCACGGGUCCGCUCUGACUUCAUUUUUCCACCUGUGGAUCUUUGCGCAGCCAAGACUGAGUCAGCAUCAUCUAAACUAUGUUGCAGCAGAAGCCAUGUAGAGCCGACAGAUGUGUAACGGAGGCCGAAGCUCACGCAGACCACUUCGCCGUCCUCCCAGCUCCACGCUUCAGUGUUCGUCAGUGAAAUUGUCCUUUUUUCUCAGGCCUGCAACACAAAGCAGGAAGCGGCAGAGGCUCCACCUCUUCUUUCCUCAGCUGACAGACUGUCGGCCAUGUUGGACAGUUCACACACUGACAGGAGCUCAUGUCAUGUGUUCAGCUCGAUAUGUUGACUGUGUCCUGGAUAAAAAAAAGACUGAAAAUGUUUGUGCUUGUGACUGUGUACCUGAAAAACCUGACGUGAGAAUAAACGCUUCGUUGAGC